GUGGGGAAUUUUGGACAAUGGGCGCAAGCCUGAUCCAGCAAUGCCGCGUGUGUGAAGAAGGCCUUCGGGUUGUAAAGCACUUUUGGCAGGAAAGAAAUAGCGCGUGCUAAUACCAUGCGCGAAUGACGGUACCUGCAGAAUAAGCACCGGCUAACUACGUGCCAGCAGCCGCGGUAAGACGUAGGGUGCAAGUGUUAAUCGGAAUUACUGGGCGUAAAGCGUGCGCAGGCGGUUUUGUAAGACAGGUGUGAAAUCCCCGGGCUCAACCUGGGAACUGCACUUGUGACUGCAAGGCUAGAGUGUGUCAGAGGGAGGUGGAAUUCCGCGUGUAGCAGUGAAAUGCGUAGAGAUGCGGAGGAACACCGAUGGCGAAGGCAGCCUCCUGGGAUAACACUGACGCUCAUGCACGAAAGCGUGGGGAGCAAACAGGAUUAGAAACCCGUGUAGUCC
rnacentral:rRNA from 1 species